rnacentral:lncRNA from 1 species
CUGGCCAUCUCCAUGGUGACGCUGGGCAAAGAGGCCAAGCAGAGGCUGCAGUAGCUUUUCGAGGGCAGCCAAUUUUCCAUCUGCUGGGGCUUUAUUCGUCUCAUGACUUACCUGGAACUAAAGAAGGGUAUAGAGCCUGGGAUGUCUGAGCCAAUCGUUUUGAGCCUGCUUUGGAGAUAAAGGACUAUUUGAUCAUCUGGAUUUGGAAGCCAUCAGUGGGCAGGAACAACAUGGAGUUGGGUUCAGCCAAUGGGAGGCAUCAGCAACAGAAGACCAGAAGAAGGUACACUUACUUGACCAGAUACCUUCUUGUUAGCAGUAAAUGCACAGCAACAUUUCUCUACGAAAGAAACACUGUUGUGAGUCGAGUCCCCUCCCUGUGCUGGGCACUAUGCUGGACAAUGCAGGUACAAGGUGGUGAUCUUGCCACCCUUCCCUCCAGGUGAGAUAAUGACAGAUGAGGCAGCAAGUGUGAUUGGGUGAUCCAGACACCAAGAGAGCAGCAUGAACAGAUG